UACGAAGGGGGCUAGCGUUGCUCGGAAUCACUGGGCGUAAAGCGCACGUAGGCGGAUUGCUAAGUCAGGGGUGAAAUCCUGGAGCUCAACUCCAGAACUGCCUCCGAUACUGAGAGUCUCCGAGUCCGGGAGAGGUGAGUGGAACUGCGAGUGUAGAGGUGAAAUUCGUAGAUAUUCGCAAGAACACCAGUGGCGAAGGCGGCUCACUGGCCCGGUACUGACGCUGAGGUGCGAAAGCGUGGGGAGCAAACAGG
rnacentral:rRNA from 1 species